rnacentral:rRNA from 1 species
AAUGAACGUUGGCGGCGUGGAUUAGGCAUGCAAGUCGCGCGGACAAGGAACCUUCGGGGUUCUGGAGGAGCGGGCAAACGGGGGUAGUAAGGCAUCGGGAACGUACCCUCUUGUUGGGAAUAGCCGCGGGAAACUGCGAGUAAUGCCCAAUAAUCCCUACGGGGCAAAGGUCCGCCGCAGGAGGAGCGGCCGAUGUGAUACCAGCUAGUUGGUGAGGUAAUGGCUCACCAAGGCUUAGACGUCUAGGGGGUGUGAGAGCAUGGCCCCCACACCUGGGACUGAGAUACUGCCCAGACACCUACGGGUGGCUGCAGUCGAGAAUCUUCGGCAAUGGGCGC